rnacentral:rRNA from 1 species
GAUGAACGCUGGCGGCGUGCCUAAUACAUGCAAGUCGAGCGAACAGACGAGGAGCUUGCUCCUCUGACGUUAGCGGCGGACGGGUGAGUAACACGUGGAUAACCUACCUAUAAGACUGGGAUAACUUCGGGAAACCGGAGCUAAUACCGGAUAAUAUAUUGAACCGCAUGGUUCAAUAGUGAAAGACGGUUUUGCUGUCACUUAUAGAUGGAUCCGCGCCGCAUUAGCUAGUUGGUAAGGUAACGGCUUACCAAGGCAACGAUGCGUAGCCGACCUGAGAGAGUGAUCGGCCACACUGGAAGUGAGACACGGUCCAGACUCCUACGGGAGGCAGCAGUAGGGAAUCUUCCGCAAUGGGCGAAAGCCUGACGGAGCAACGCCGCGUGAGUGAUGAAGGUCUUCGGAUCGUAAAACUCUGUUAUUAGGUAAGAACAAAUGUGUAAGUAACUAUGCACGUCUUGACGGUACCUAAUCAGAAAGCCACGGCUAACUACGUG